rnacentral:rRNA from 1 species
GAUGAACGCUGACGGCAUGCUUAACACAUCAGCAAUGGUUUGGAGGGGGACGGGGGAGUAACGCGUAAAGAACUAGACUCGCAGAUCGGGCCAACAUGUGGGAACGAAUGCUAAUACCUAAGUCCGUGGGAGGGCUUUGCGUCCCAUUAGCUAGUUGGAGAGGUAACGGCUUACCAAGGCGAGGAUGGGUAGCCGGCCUGAGAGGGUGAUCGGCCCCAAAGUGCUGGAGGCACCGCCCUUGCUGCAUCUUGAGGCAGCAGUGGGGACCAUUUGCCAAUAUACCGCUGUCUGAUCCAGCCAUUCUGUUUGUACGACGCUGUUGUCGGAAUGUAAAGUGCUGUCAGUUGGGCACCGGUACCUACAGAAGAAGCGCCGGCUAACUACGUGCCAGCCGCCGCGGUAAUUC